GCCUGAAGGAACCUGGGUUGGCUUCCUAGGCUUCCAGGUGCGUCCUGCCUGCAGCCAGGUCUACAGCUUCUUCCAUUGCGCAGACCCCUCUGCCUCACGGCUUGAGCCACUGCUGGAGCCCAAGUUCCACCUGGUGCCGCCUGUCAGCGUGCCUCGCUACCAGAGGUUCCCACUGGGCGAUGGGCAGUCCCUCCUCCUCGCCCCCUCUUCCUGGAGGGCAGCUCCCGGGACAGCCCGCCACUUCUGGACGCCCCUGCCUCGCCCCCUCAGGCCUCGAGGUUCCAGCGCCCAGGACGGAGGAUGAGCGAAGGGAGCUCCCACAGCGAGAGCUCGGAGUCCUCGGACAGCAUGGCACCUGCGGGUGCCUCCCGCAUCACAGCCAAGUGGUGGGGAAGCAAGAGGAUCGACUAUGCCCUGUACUGCCCUGAUGUCCUCACGGCCUUCCCCACCGUGGCCCUGCCCCACCUCUUCCACGCCAGCUACUGGGAGUCCACGGAUGUGGUGGCCUUCAUCCUGAGACAGGUGAUGCGCUAUGAGAGCGUGAACAUCAAGGAGAGCGCCCGCCUGGACCCCGCGGCACUGAGUCCCGCCAACCCCCGGGAGAAGUGGCUUCGUAAGCGGACUCAGGUCAAGCUGAGGAAUGUCACGGCUAAUCACCGGGCUAACGAUGUGAUUGCUGCUGAAGAUGGCCCCCAGGUCCUGGUGGGGCGGUUCAUGUACGGGCCCCUCGACAUGGUGGCUCUGACUGGAGAGAAGGUGGACAUCCUAGUAAUGGCAGAGCCGUCCUCAGGCCGCUGGGUACACCUGGACACAGAGAUCACCAACAGCAGUGGUCGCAUCACAUACAAUGUGCCGCGGCCCCGGCGCCUGGGGGUCGGCGUCUAUCCUGUGAAGAUGGUCGUCAGGGGCGACCAGACCUGCGCCAUGAGCUACCUCACGGUGUUGCCCCGGGGCAUGGAGUGCGUCGUGUUCAGCAUUGACGGGUCCUUUGCGGCCAGCGUGUCUAUCAUGGGAAGCGACCCCAAGGUCCGGCCGGGUGCAGUGGACGUUGUCCGGCACUGGCAGGACCUGGGCUACAUGAUCCUUUACAUCACGGGACGGCCGGACAUGCAGAAGCAGCGGGUGGUGUCGUGGCUGUCGCAGCACAACUUCCCACAGGGCAUGAUCUUCUUCUCCGACGGGCUGGUGCAUGACCCGCUGCGGCAGAAGGCCAUCUUCCUGCGCAACCUCAUGCAGGAGUGCUUCAUCAAAAUCAGUGCGGCCUAUGGCUCCACGAAGGACAUCUCUGUCUACAGCGUGCUGGGCCUGCCUGCCUCCCAGAUCUUCAUUGUGGGCCGGCCCACCAAGAAGUACCAAACCCAGUGCCAGUUCCUGAACGAGGGCUACGCCGCACACCUGGCCGCGCUGGAGGCCAGCCACCGCUCACGCCCAAAGAAGAACAACUCGCGCAUGAUCCUGCGCAAGGGCAGCUUCGGGCUGCACGCGCAGCCAGAGUUCCUGCGGAAGCGCAACCACCUGCGCAGAACCAUGUCCGUGCAGCAGCCUGACCCGCCCGCCGCCAACCCCAAGCCCGAGCGGGCCCAGAGCCAGCCCGAGUCGGACAAGGACCACGAGCGGCCGC
rnacentral:sRNA from 1 species